CCAGCUCGGAGUCAGCCUACCUUGUGUUUUCUGUCCUUGGCUGCUGUAAGUACAGAAGUUACAUUAAAAGGUUUUAAUGGGGCUUUGUUGGGGCAAGGUGACCAAAUAAUUCGCACUGUAAUGGAUCACAACCACCAACUGCUAGGCGCGGGAAUCACCAGACGCCUCCCGAUACGAUAUCAUCACAAUACCAUAUUAUUGCAAUUUUAAAAACAUUACAAUAUUCUGCGAUAUAGUAUAUCAAAUUUAGAAUCUUUUCUCCAACUUCUAAUUUUUCCCAAUUUCAAAUGAUGUCGCUCUGCAGUUUAUUGUGGAGGUGGAUGCUUCUGACUGGGGGGGGUGGGAGCCCAACGCUCCCCCACAGACCAGAAGCUUCACCCUUGUGCCCUCUUUCCAAGAAAUUGUCUCCCGCAGAAAGAAACUACAAUGUUGGAAACCGAGAGCUACUGGUCUGGAGCGACCAUGAAAACCUGGCAUUCAUCCAAUCCGCCAAAAGACUCAACUCACGUCAAGCCAGGGUGCCAUCCCCAAUCCAUGGGUCGGACUGAGAGAGCCAACCAGGACCUAGGAGCAUCCCUUCGUUGUGUGUCUGCUCAGCGUCCGUCCUCCUGGGCCAACAUCUGCCGUGGAUAGAGUAUGUCCACAACUCCCUGGCCACCUCCGCCACUGGCUUCUCACCUUUCGAGGUUGCCCUGGGAUACCAACCCCUCCUUGUUUCCUGCUCAGGAGAGGGAACUGGCUGUUCCAUCGGUUCAAGAGAACCUAAAGUAAAGUUUGGAGCGACGCCCGGGAAGCCCUGCUCAACGAAGCCAAAUUCCCCACCGGCGCUAGAUCGUUGCACCUACCAGUGUGACCUACGCCUCCAGACCUGUGGCCGUGGCUCAUCACGCUCAAGCCUUCCCACCUUCCCGCUUGGAUUUCAGAAAGAAAGUUUGGAUCCACCACGGCCUGCUCUCCUCAGCCCCUAUCCAGAUCGGAGUCAGC